rnacentral:precursor_RNA from 14 species
GACGGCAAAACAAGGUUGGUGUGUAUUUUGUGAAAGACACAGGUAGUGAGAUAGUCUAGUAUGUGCAUCUCGCUACUUUGGUCUCUCUCCAAAAUGCCUGCCACUAUACAGCCUACAGAU